GGACUGUUUUAUAAGGGAUAUAGCUCUAGGUAUAAAGGAUUGCCGGUGUCUUUUAGUAUACGAUACAACAUAUGGUAGAUUACUUGUUGUUCUUAGAUCGUGUUCAUGGGUAAAAGGUUGGGGGAUAAGUUUAUUACAUGGGUUGGUCGGAUCACUUAGAAUUCUUUGGUAUUCCUUAACAGUUAGGUGUGCCCUUCUUUGUUCUAGCGUUUCAAAGUUGCACCGAGAUGUGCCGAGGAUUUUGAUGCAUCUGUUUUGAAUGCUCUCUAUUUCAUCAAUGAGAUAUUGUGGUAAACCACCCC
rnacentral:lncRNA from 1 species